AGUUCGGAUUGUAGUCUGCAACUCGACUACAUGAAGCUGGAAUCGCUAGUAAUCGCGAAUCAGAAUGUCGCGGUGAAUACGUUCCCGGGUCUUGUACACACCGCCCGUCACACCAUGGGAGUCGGAAAUGCCCGAAGUCAGUGACCUAACCGAAAGGAAGGAGCUGCCGAAGGUGGAGCCGGUAACUGGGGUGAAGUCGUAACAAGGUACC
rnacentral:rRNA from 1 species